CUUUAGCCCCGUUGGAAGCAAAUAUCCUUUUAUUCUGGGGUUCAGAAUAAAAGAUAUUUGUGUACAGCGGGAACUAUU
rnacentral:sRNA from 1 species